rnacentral:tRNA from 1 species
UGCGUGAUAGUUUAAUGGUCAGAAUGGGCGCUUGUCACGUGCCAGAUCAAGGGGUUCAAUUCCCCGUCACUUGA